GUGCUCCCCCGCCAAUCCUUCACCGUGAGCAACUCCUUCUUCAUGCCCAGUCCUUUCUUUCGGUGAGGCUCAGCACGGCGCUGACCAUACCGCGGUAGAUGAAUGGAGGAAAGUACCCUGCUUAGGCCUCUUUAGGACAGUUAGGGACCAUUAGAGACAACGGUCACAAGUAAACCGAAUGAAUGUAACUGCGGGGUGCCUAGAUAGAAAUUCUGAAUGUUACGUAAGAAAGGCGAGCUGGCUGUCUAUCGGGCUUUGGAGCGCGUACAGUAGAAAAAGCGGGCGAAAAUGGGUGAUCUACGUGUCAAUCCCGGCAGGUUUGUACGCAAGUGAGCGGUGUCCUGCCCCGCUUAAUUGUGGACAGUCCACUGAACAUUGCAAACCAUCCAUUUUGCAGAGAAUCAAGUCCUCUUCGAUUCUCCAUUUCUCAGUGGACAUCCAGGACACUCGCUCGUGACUCUAGGGAAAGGGCCUCGGCCGUCUUCCCUACCAUGGGUUUUGAAUAAUUUCAGCGGGUUCAUCCAUCCAGCUGGCUAAGCCCCCUGUCUACAUUUUAAGCGGGGCACAACAUGGACUUUCACAAGACGAUGCUCGCGGUGAUGCUGGUGAUGCCUGUCGCGGCCCCGGUAUUGGCCCAAUCGGUAGGAUCUGAGGUGCAGCGGGAUAUUAAUCAGGAAACACGGGUUGAACAGGGGUUAAAGUCGGGCCAACUCAACACGGGCGAGGCAGCAAGACUGGAACGCGGAGAGGCCCGGAUUGACCGGAUGGAAUCCAAGGCGCUCAAAGACGGCAAUCUGUCGCCGGCGGAAGCGGCCCGCAUCCAGCGUGCACAGAAUCAGGAGUCCGGCAGGAUCAACCGGAG
rnacentral:rRNA from 1 species